UUGACUGUGUGAGGAGGAGCGACAGGUCACAGAGGGAUCACACGUCCUCCGCUGCCCAGAAGACCCUGCCCCUCCAGGAAACAACGGUGGUCCUCCGGGAAGGAAUGGGUUCCCAAGACUGGCCCAUCAAAGUCAGCCUCGUCUCCCCUGGACCCAGUUAAGAGUCUGCCCAGAGUCUGGACGGGCCGCUGGGCUUUGGCUCGCCCCAGGGGUUAGGAGCCCAUCCCAGCUUGCUGGACUUUAGGAUUCUCAUCUGGUGACAUGGAAAAGCACAAGGAGAGUGUAACGCAGGAAAGGAGGAGAGGUCUCUGUAGCUCUUCGUGCCCCAUGGGGCUUGUCUGCUGAGAUCCAGAGACACAGUGACAGAUAAGCAGGGCACAGAUAAACAAGCCUCAGAAAGAGGACCACACACGUCCUGAGGGAAAAACAACUCAUGGUUGCUAGUGUGAACUAGGCGGGUAUGAAUGAAGAUGCUAAGUAUGAACGAAGCCUCCACCAGGGAGCAGGCAGGCCCUUGCCGUAACUGGGUUGGAUCAAUUCCAUUACAAAUCUCAGGGUGGUGAAACCAAAGUCAAGGAGGAGAUGGCUAGGGCCAGCAAGAGGGAACACUGAGUAACUGCUGAAGGAGAGAAACAUGAAGAGUGAAGCUGACGCUCAAGGAACAGGUGUCUCCUCCAAGCCGGGACAACCAAAUCCUGUCUCCUGGAAAUGGGAAGCUGGAAGCCUGGGAGUCAGCGGGUCAGGAGACUCUCAGCUGUUCAGACAGCACGCAGUCCUUGUGGAAAGACAGUGGGGUAAGACCUCUGAGCCGCCCUGCCGCCCGCAGGCACAGAGCGCGAUGGGCCGAGGCAUGGAACCGGUUAAUGUAACCUGAAAGGCGUGAAAUGCGGCUCCACAGAGCUGUCCUCUCUUGCCUUGGUGGCUUCUCAAGACACACAACUGCUGUUAACACUGGCAAAGCUGGCCCUCAGCCUCUUCACUCGUCUCCACCAGGGGUUGGACCAGGUGGUCUUAAAGUUUCAGUAACUCUCCUCAAAAUUUUGUCACCUCCCAUGGAAUGGCACCAGCAUCAAAGCCUGACAAAGCUCCAAGCUGGAAGAUUUCUUUCUUUU